GCCCUUAUCGUUCAACGGAUAGGACACAAGCUUGCGGAGUUUGAGAUCGAGGUUCGAUUCCUCGUAAGGGCACCG
rnacentral:tRNA from 1 species